UUCCCUGUAUCUCCAAUGUAGUAGCCAAAACUUAAUUUCCAUGUUUCAAUAACUACAAAUUAUUAUUACUAUAUGUUAAAAAGAAAACUGAAUGAACAGUGAUUUGGAUUUUCUGAUUGACCUAGGGAGGUUAUCCCUCUUUGAGACACGUAUCUUCAAUUUUCACCUCAAACCUCAGAAGAAGAGAGAGAAAGGAAAAGGGAGAGAGAAUGGCGGUGACCGGAGGAUCAUCACCGUCACACCACCCCGACGGUCACAGUUGCUGGCGACUAUUCAUUGGGCCAUUUGGUGGUGGCGAGGCUUGAUUGGCCUCCGGCUGACCUCCUCACCCCGGUUACACACCUCGCUAAUGACGAUGAUGGUGAUUGUGUAGUGUUUCAUUUGUGUAGUUAGCUGUGACCACUGUCGGUCACUUCCACUAUCGCCACCGUCAUCGCCGCCGCUGGUAUGGCCGUCGCUUGCAAAUCUGAAACCCUAACCUCCAAACCCUUCUUUCUCUUAUCGGGUUUCUGCUGGUGGAAUUUUUGUGUGGUUGGCUGUGUUUAAGCUGACAGGUGUUAGGCUAUGAUGAGUAUCAAAUUCAUAUAGAUCAUUGAGAAAGAUGGCGCGGCAAGGGUAGCGGAUGGCAGGUAUAGACCUGCAACCCACCUUGCAGCCAGCUUCACUCUGAGCCUUAGAUUUGUUUUUACUGUGUCUUUGCUUUUUUAUGUUUCUCCAGUGUUGGCAAAUGUGUUGAUACAUAUGUGUUUGUGGUAAGCUUUUCGCCGAAUUGGUUGACUUGUAAUAAGGAAAACAGAUUAGGUGUUAUUCAAUUGGUAAAUUUGGUGUUAGUUCUUUGUUGAGAUAUUUGUUCUGAAUCGGUAGGUAAGUUUGUGUAGGUCAGCGGUGGUCCGAUAAUGAUGAUGGUGGUGGCGUUACGGCGAUGGCAGUUUUACAACCUACUCGUCGGCGUCAACAACACUCGAAGACGACGUUUUCAUCAUUUUCGUGGCUAUAGUCUUUGGUGGCAGCGGACAUGGUUUUUUACGGAGAGCGACAAGGUAUGUUAUAUCAGAUGCUGUCAUAGCUCUCUGACAAUGAUGGCGGUCAAGCGGUUAGGGUUUCGAUUAACUUCCGGUAACAUCUGGUGAGGUUUCGGCGAAGAUUCUAAGAUUAUGGUGAACAGGCAGACGAAGUUUCCAAACCAUUAAGAUGCAUCAGAUUGUAAUUUCUUGUAGAUAAUAAUCACUAAGUUAACUUUGUUUGUCACAAAGAAUAUAUGUCAAAAUGUUGAUUCUACUUCAUACACAUGUUUUAUUUAUGCUGAUUGCUUCGGUGUGAUGGUGUGGUGUUAGGGUUUGUUUGCCCUAAUCAAUUGGAGUUGGAGAUAAGAACUGAUGGUGGUCCAAGGAAGAUUGAUCAGGAUAAAGUUGGUUAUAGUGGGCCGGAAGUUAUGGAGGAGUUCUUCUGUGGAAAUCAGUUCAGGUGGGAAAGGGUUUAAAGAGAAGUACAUGGGAGUGGGAUCGGAUGGGUCGGAUUCAAGAUAAUAUCUCCUGUGCAGAAGAGGCAACAAGCUGAAUGGGAAGUUGUAUGUUCUAUGUAUUUUGUUACCAUUAGGUUUUAGGUAUUUUAUUACCGACUUAAGUAAUACACAAAUGUUCAUUAAAGUGACCAUGUCUGAUACUAAUUAUGUUUAAAGUUGAAGGCAAUGAAUUGUGAAUUUCAAGAUUAUAAAGAAGAACUGUAGAUUUGAAAUAAAAAAAAGAUACAUAGAUGCUACAUUAUAGGGAUGAGCUCGGUACCGACCGGUACCGAACCGGUUCAGUAAAUUCGGUAUUAGAACCGGUUUGGUACCGGUUCGGUGCCGGUACCGGGUACCAUUUGCUCAUCCCUACUACAUUAUGCAGUUGCCAUUUAACUCAUAGAACACCUGCCAUACUAUAUUCACUCAAUCACUCCAUUCCUGAUAUCAAACAUAAGACCUUUUGAAUUAAAAUGUUUAUAGAUCUUUUCUAGCUAACAGUCAACACAAUACUUCUCUUUUGUAGUGUUGAAUACUAACUACAUAAUACUUAUCAUACUUGUAUUUAUAUGAUUAUUAUUUUUUAAUUUAUACCUUAUAGAUAAGUUACCGUUAUAUGAGGAUAAUAGAAAUUUUAAAAUGAAACUGUUUGUUUCGGGAGGUAUUGUUUUUGUCAUUUACCCCAUUUUCCUUUUGUUUUUUUUUCAAAAGCAUCAUUUAAUCAAUUCCAAUUCAUUGCCAGGUCUCAGUUCCGAUUGGGUGUGAGACUUGCAGACCGGUCACGUGGUCGUGCGGUGACAGGUGGCUGUGUGGUUGUGGUGGUAAAAUUCACGCCGAAGAGGAGGUGCCUGCCAAUGACGCAUCUACUUUUUUUGUUUUUGUUUUCCCACAGUUACAAGGUUUCAUCCUCUAAUCGUAAAUUAUUUCAGUUUCUUGCGACAUGAUCAAACAAUCAACGAAGCUCCGUCUUCAUUAUAUAUAUUUGCUAUGGGAACUGUAGGUGUUCUGAAAAAUAAUGGAAACAAAGACCUCCAGUAACACAUUAGGAACUGUCUCCAGUAACACAUUAGGAAUUCCAGAACAAUAAAAAUUGAAGGGUGAUUCUGGAAGUUAAAUUAAAGAACUAUCUUCAGGUCUUCUAUGGUAUAGGAACUGUAUGUGUUCUAAAAUUGAAUUGCCAAACUAUUGGAAUGAGAGCAGAACAAAGUUGGUGUUGGAUGGUGGAUUUUGCUUUCCCCACACCAAUUCCCAUAGCAAAACUUUAGGUCUUUUUUUUACCAUUAUUUUCCACAAUCACCCUUCAAUAUCAUUAUUCUUACUUCUUUGGUAUGGAUCUUUAUUGUUGUACAAGGAUUAUAAUGUGGAGAAUGAAAGACUGUCACAAGGAGU